GCCCCAACCACGCCGGGCCCGGCUCGAACUCCUAAAGCGGGUGUCGCAGGUUCGAAUCCUGCCGGGGCA
rnacentral:tRNA from 1 species